GUGGUAGCUCUCCAAGCCCUCUCCAAAUAUGGAGCAACAACUUUCACAAAAAAGUAAGAUGGCAGUUUCGGUCACUGUCAAAUCUUCUAACACAUUCUCUGAAGAAUUCCACAUAGAUGAUGACAAUCGCCUGCUGCUGCAGGAGGUCAUGCUGUCUGAGAUUCCAGGGGAUUAUGACACCACAGUGUUGGGGUCAGGAUGUGUGUACCUCCAGACUUCACUAAGAUAUAACAUCCUUCCCAAGAAAGAAGGGAAAGUUCCCUUCACUCUGCAUGUUGAUUCUCAUCCCAAAAUUGUGAUGGAGUAGAUGCUCACAGGAAAUUUCAGAUUCAUAUCAACAUUAGGUAAACCCUAAAUCACAACUAGACUUUUUUGUAGAAUAUGAAAACUUUUUUUUCCUUGUAUUGGGGGAACUCUAUUGUCCAAAUUAAUUAUGUAAUGGGUAUGGAAGUCUUGUAAUAUGUAUUUAUAAGAAAAUUGUCUUCACCCUUACUGAAAAGCCUUAACCUUAAUAAUAUAUUGCCAUAACUGAAGAGUAGAGUUGACAAGGGUGGGUUUGUCAAAGAACAAUAACACAGAUACAGUAGAUAGAGAAACUGAGUGGUACAAAUAAACAAGGGGAAACUUCUAUCUUCAAUCAAUUCCAAGGAAUUUUAUUUGAAGGUUUAUCACUCUGCCUUACUUCAUAGUUACACUGGCGAAAGACCCAGAUCCAACAUGGUUAUUGUGGAUUUGAAGAUGAUAUCAGGCUUCAGUGAAAAAGCUUCAAGAACAGCCUGAGAUUCAAAGGACUGAAGUGAGGACCAAUCCUGUCCUAAUCUACCUUAGGAAGCUAACCAAUCAAGCCCUGAGUUUCUCCUUCUUGGUGGAACAAGACAUGCAAGUAAAGAAUUUAAAACCAGCUAUAGUAAAAGCCUAUAAUUAUUAUGAGACAGGUGAGUGAGAUUUACAUAUGCUGAGCUUUAAUACAAAAAACUAACACCGUAAACAGUUGCAUUAACUGAUAUGAAACUCCAAGAUAUUUCACUGGAAGAAAAGGCAAGUUUUGGUCACUAAAAAAUCAUGUCCCUGUAUAUUAAUCUCACAUUUGCUCCCUAAGAAAGUUUUCUUGACACAUGAAAACUCCCUGUGUUUGCAACAAGAGGAAGCAAUUAGUGAUAAAGGCACAUCUUAGCCACUGGACACAUGUGGCCACUUCUACUUCCCAUCUCUUCAGAGGAAGUCUACUCAACCCUCGCAUUCCCCCAUUUGUAAAGAAACCAGAAAGAGCUAAUCAAACAAAUCCUCCACUUGCAUCUCUUGAUAUGUAUGAGGAAGAAAAAUGCAGCAGUGUUCAGGGGAUAUUCACCUGUGUUUUUUCCCCACACUGAUCCCCUCGUUUUGUUGGUUGGUUUGGCUGGUAAGUUGGUAGGUCUCCUAAGAAAUUUUGUCUCCAAAUAAAUCCAGAGCCCAAGCUGUGAACUUCAUUACUCUUUUAUGCCUGAAAGGAGAAGGGUCCAGGAACACUUGAGGGAACUCAUAUUCUAAGCUCAGGUGUCCGUGAAAUCAAUACCUGAAAAAGGAUAAGCCUGGAAUCACUAUGGUUAAAUUAUUGGAAAAUCAAUUCCUGAACCCAG